AUUGAACGCUGGCGGCAUGCCUUACACAUGCAAGUCGAACGGUAACGCGGGGCAACCUGGCGACGAGUGGCGAACGGGUGAGUAAUAUAUCGGAACGUGCCCAGUAGUGGGGGAUAGCCCGGCGAAAGCCGGAUUAAUACCGCAUACGACCUACGGGUGAAAGGCGGGGGAUCGCAAGACCUCGCGCUAUUGGAGCGGCCGAUAUCAGAUUAGGUAGUUGGUGGGGUAAAGGCCUACCAAGCCUACGAUCUGUAGCUGGUCUGAGAGGACGACCAGCCACACUGGGACUGAGACACGGCCCAGACUCCUACGGGAGGCAGCAGUGGGAAUUUUGGACAAUGGGCGCAAGCCUGAUCCAGCCAUGCCGCGUGCGGGAAGAAGGCCU
rnacentral:rRNA from 1 species